UGGGGAAUUUUGGACAAUGGGGGAAACCCUGAUCCAGCCAUCCCGCGUGUGCGAAGAAGGCCUUCGGGUUGUAAAGCACUUUUGGCAGGAAAGAAACGGCAUGGGCUAAUACCCCGUGAAACUGACGGUACCUGCAGAAUAAGCACCGGCUAACUACGUGCCAGCAGCCGCGGUAAUACGUAGGGUGCAAGCGUUAAUCGGAAUUACUGGGCGUAAAGCGUGCGCAGGCGGUUCGGUAAGAAAGAUGUGAAAUCCCAGGGCUCAACUUUGGAACUGCAUUUGUGACUGCCGGGCUAGAGUGCGUCAGAGGGAGGUGGAAUUCCGCGUGUAGCAGUGAAAUGCGUAGAUAUGCGGAGGAACACCGAUGGCGAAGGCAGUCUCCUGGGAUAACACUGACGCUCAUGCACGAAAGCGUGGGGAGCAAACAGG
rnacentral:rRNA from 1 species